UACGUAGGGUGCAAGCGUUUGUCCGGAAUUAUUGGGCGUAAAAGAGCUCGUAGGCGGUUUGUCGCGUCUGCUGUGAAAACCCGAGGCUCAACCUCGGGCCUGCAGUGGGUACGGGCAAACUAGAGUGCGGUAGGGGAGAAUGGAAUUCUUGGUGUAGCGGUGGAAUGCGCAGAUAUCAGGAGGAACACCGAUGGCGAAGGCAGUUCGCUGGGACGGUACUGACGCUGAGGCGCGAAAGCGUGGGGAGCGAACAGG
rnacentral:rRNA from 1 species